rnacentral:lncRNA from 1 species
GAAAACUUGAAAACCAAACAUCUUUAGCCCCCCUUUACGUAUAGCGAAAAACCAGUUACGGAUCGACCUGCUAGAUGCGUCUCUCAGGGAGGGAGAAUCGAACCUGAGAUCCCGGCGUUUCAUUUUCGUGGAGGAAAAAAAAAAGCUGUUGAGCACCACAGUCCAGGCGCAGUAGGGACUUGUACAUCUGCAGGCAGGUCUCGCUGUUCCGCUGCAAUGGUAAGAAAAGUUAUUUUUUCCACUGUAUAAACCAGAAAAAUGUUCAUUAAGAACUGGUUAUUUGGAAC